rnacentral:lncRNA from 1 species
GGCCCCAGCGUCGCCAGGAGAGCUUCCAGCCUCUCUAGAAUCACUACUGCGCACUUCCUGGACAGCAGUCUCCGUCGCAAGAAGCGGAGGGAAAAAAAAAAGCAACAAGCAGGGAUAGAACCAGCGUUGGCCGCCGCGCACGUCGGGAGUUGUAGUUCUGGCUAGGCCGUGCGUCCUGCACCGAUCUCCGGGCCCGCCGCGGCGCCCGCUGGCCUGGGGUUCCGGCUUACAGCGCGGGAAUUCGGGAACCCAGCGCGGGCUGCAGAGGCCCCAGCAGGAGCCCCGCCUCCCGGCUCGUCGACGGAUUCGUUCUUGGCCCUGCCAAUCUGAUUCUCAGCUCCCAGAACUUCACGAUUUAGAAUGUAGACUUUUGCUUUGUGACAGUUCUCCCCAUCCCCGACUACUAAAUGACGAACCCUCUUUAACUGUGAAAUGUACCUGCAAAGUCAAGCAGUGUCUUUGGAUACCCAAGUUCAGAUAUGAACAAGCAAGCUACAAAAGCGGGGUGGGCGGGUAUGAGUGAGCAGAAGAGAGAAACCGGGCUGCAAAAAAGGAAAAUAAAGGCGGGACGUGGGGGUAUGAUUUGCUGAAUGGUACCAAAGUUGAUUUUUUGCACCGUGCACAGUGAUCGAGCUGAGCAAAUUAUUUUUUUUUUAAUUAUAAGCAGCGGUAAGAACAACAACAAAAUUACAUUUGGAAAAUGAUUUGCAUUUUCUCGGUCUGAUCAUUUCACGUUCCCUGGGAAAGGGAUGUCAAGGCAGAGUGCCUUGCUGCCUCCUCAUGUGUGUCAAUAGGAGAGUGAUGAUAUUUGAGUUGGAUCUUAAAGAGUAAGUAGGAGUUUGCCACACAAAGAAGUUGGGUAAGGAAAUUCCUGCAGGAGAAACCUGUAUUUGCAAAGGCAAGAAUCCAGACGGAGUGUGUCAAAUUCGGGAAAAGAACAAAAUUCAAGGUGGCCAUAUUAUCUCUGGGAAGAAGAGAGGAAGGGCAAGAUUGCUGCUAGCAUGCUGGAUAUUCUCCAUUCCACCUUCUAGUGGUUCCUCCCAGCUCUUCCAGCUCUGCAUCAACUGACCUGAACAGGCAAAAAGACUGCACUAUCCAGGCUGCCUGGCCCUCUGGCUUCCAGUUGGUUGCCGCCGAUAGGAGGCAUCAGCAGGAAAUUGGAAAGUAGGAGGAAAGAGAUACGGAUAUUAAACCAAGAUUCCACUAGCCCAUGCCUAAGCCUGCCUGGCCAAGAUUGUAACAGUGGCUGAAUUCCUUGACCCAAAGACCACAUGUCCUGAUGGAUAGCAUACCACAGUGGGCACUGCAGAACCAGUUACACCAACUCAGAAGUGUCUGUAGUUAUCCAGGAAGGAAGGUGUUAAUUACGGAUUUGAAGUGUCAAGGUCAAAAAACACAUGACAAUACAGAAAAAUAAUAGAAAUAACUUGUCAAUGAUGUUUCUGAGAUGAACAAUCUUAGGUGAUGAGAGACUGUAGAUGCAGUGGGGCAGAAUUUCCUCAAAAUGUAGAGGAGGAGAAGAUUGUGGUCCAGACUUCCAUCUUCCCAUAUAAUGACUCCAGAAGAAAAAGAAA